AGCGAAAAAGGCAGAACAGUAGAAGGCGAUAAAGCUUCUGCUUCCUCUUUUCAGUCCAAAUUCAUCCUCUGGGAUUUAAAGAGCAAUUGUUAAAACGGUUAAUUGGCACAGAGCGCUAAGCGUUGAAAUUAAUUUAAAGUGCUUCUAAUACGAGCUUUUAAGGAAAAGGCCUUCCAAUGAUGGUCAUUUAGUCUACAUAAAGAGGACUGAAAGAGAAUUCCGUGCAGCCACGAACUAAUCUCCUAUAUUCGACUUCUUUCGGCUACAUUUUUCUUUUUUAUUUUUAAUAAAAGUGUAAUUACUUUUAUUAAAAUAUAGUUUUUCAUUCAAA